GGAUGUUGAAGGGAACAAAGCCCACCUGGUUGAAGCGGUUGCGACACUUCCACCAGCGCUUGGAUGACUCCAGCACCUGUUACACGCAAGCGGGAAAUGGGACCGACCGCCAGACGAUGCCCAAGUUCCCAACCGAUGCUUGAAAAGAGGCCUUACAUUUCAUCACCGAUGUGGAUGUUGAGCAGCUGCUGCUGCUGCUGCUGCUGCUGUUGC